UCCUCAGUAGCUCAAUGGUGGAGCACUCGGCUGUUAACCGAUAGGCUGUUGGUUCGAAUCCAACCUGGGGAGCCA
rnacentral:tRNA from 1 species